rnacentral:rRNA from 1 species
UGGGGAAUAUUGCACAAUGGGCGCAAGCCUGAUGCAGCCAUGCCGCGUGUGUGAAGAAGGCCUUCGGGUUGUAAAGCACUUUCAGCGGGGAGGAAGGCGAUAAGGUUAAUAACCUCAUCGAUUGACGUUACCCGCAGAAGAAGCACCGGCUAACUCCGUGCCAGCAGCCGCGGUAAUACGGAGGGUGCAAGCGUUAAUCGGAAUUACUGGGCGUAAAGCGCACGCAGGCGGUCUGUCAAGUCGGAUGUGAAAUCCCCGGGCUCAACCUGGGAACUGCAUUCGAAACUGGCAGGCUAGAGUCUUGUAGAGGGGGGUAGAAUUCCAGGUGUAGCGGUGAAAUGCGUAGAGAUCUGGAGGAAUACCGGUGGUGAAGGCGGCCCCCUGGACGAAGACUGACGCUCAGGUGCGAAAGCGUGGGGAGCAAACAGG